AGAGACCUUGCUUAUUCUUCACGUGAAGUACUUCAACCUGAUGAAUGGUGGAGGCUACAUGGAUAUAGUGCACCACAUUUACAAAAGUUGGCCAUUCAAAUAUUGAGCCAAACCGCAUCGUCUUCUGGAUGUGAGAGGAAUUGGAGUGUCUUUGAACGUAUACAUACCAAAAGAAGGAAUAGAUUGGAACAUCAAAGGCUUAAUGAUCUUGUAUACGUUCAUUACAAUUUGCGGCUAAAAAAUCGGUUUUAUAACAAGAAAAGAAUCUAUGAUCCCAUUGACUAUGCAUGCAUUGAUGAGACCGAUUUUUGGGUAGUUGAUGACGAUCAGCCAGCAGAGCUAGAUGUUGAAGAAUUGGAAAAUCUUCUAUAUGAAGAAGGGUCAAUUCCAAUAAAUGAAGUGGAAGGUUCAAGUUCUCACAUUGGUUAG